UAAGUGAAGAGUUUGAUCCUGGCUCAGAGUGAACGCUGGCGGUAGGCCUAACACAUGCAAGUCGAACGGCAGCACAGGAG
rnacentral:rRNA from 1 species